rnacentral:misc_RNA from 1 species
GAUGAAGAACGCAGCGAAAUGCGAUAAGUAGUGUGAAUUGCAGAAUUCAGUGAAUCAUCGAAUCUUUGAACGCACAUUGCGCCCCUUGGUAUUCCAUGGGGCAUGCCUGUUCGAGCGUCAUUUCAACCAUCAAGCCCCAGGCUUGUGUUGGGGACCUGCGGCUGCCGCAGGCCCUGAAAACCAGUGGCGGGCUCGCUAGUCACACCGAGCGUAGUAGCAUACACAUCGCUCAGGGCGUGCUGCGGGUUCCGGCCGUUAAACCCCUUUUUUACCCAAGGUUGACCUCGGAUCAGGUAGGAAGACCCGCUGAACUUAAGCAUAUCAAUAAGCGGAGGA